AUAGGACGCUCUAAUGCGGACAUGGUGCGAAGAGUCUAUUGAGCUAGUUAGUGGUCCUCCGGCCCCUGAAUGCGGCUAAUCCUAACUGCGGAGCACAUGCCUUCAAUCCAGAGGGUAGUGUGUCGUAAUGGGCAACUCUGCAGCGGAACCGACUACUUUGGGUGGCCGGGUUUCCUUUUAUUCCUUAUAUUGGCUGCUUAUGGGGACAAUUACAGAAUUGUUACCAUAUAGCUAUUGGAUCGCCCAUCCGGUG
rnacentral:other from 1 species